CAGUUCGGAUUGCAGGCUGCAACUCGCCUGUAUGAAGUUGGAAUCGCUAGUAAUCGCGGAUCAGCAUGCCGCGGUGAAUACGUUCCCGGGCCUUGUACACACCGCCCGUCACACCAUGAGAGUCGGGAACACCCGAAGUCCGUAGCCUAACAGCAAUGGGGGCGCGGCCGAAGGUGGGUUCGAUAAUUGGGGUGAAGUCGUAACAAGGUACC
rnacentral:rRNA from 1 species